GUCCGUGCAUGAAGUAUAAUUUUUGUGCAGUUGUAUGUUGUUGUAUGUUGUACGCUGUUAACUCUUUGUGUGUGAUAAUGUCCCAUUAAAUGAAGACGUGCAAUUCAAUUAAGCGCAUCAAAGCAUGAGUUUGUUCCAUUAUCCAACUUGUACCAUAAAAAUUGAACAAGGAUGUCGAGAACCGGAAACAGAAACAGCUCGCCUUCAAAGCAUAUACUAUAUAUAAAAAUGGAGGUCGACUCUGGGUCUGGAAAAUAAAGCCAACGCGGAAGUGCUAAUAUUCUAUAGAAGCAGAGUGUUUUUUGGGCGUGGCUACUGCGUGAUUGAUAGAUAACACAGGGGGACCUGCCUGUUAAUCCGGAUAUGACGUCAGAGCGAUGUGUUGUUGUGUUUUCAGUUGAUCAAAGUUAGCUCCAACAUGUUGUUUACCUGAAAAUGUCUUGUUCAGCGUUCAGUUGUUGUCAAAGAAACUCAGAGGAGUCGAAGGUUCAUAUUUUUCCACUCUGUGUUUGGUCUCCACCAGCUCCUGAGGGAAAUCUGUGUCUUUAGCUUCUUAAUGCUGCACUAUGUUCAGCAGCUGCUCUCGGACCGAGUCUCUGCUGUUUGCUGCUGAGGAGGUCGAGGACAGAGGCUACGGCCCAAGAAGUUUAUAUAUUCAAAGAUGACAAAGACUUUUACUGAACUGUUCUUUUUUCUUUUCUGUUAAUUUUAUUCUUAAAUUGCAUUCACCAUGUCCUUAAGAAGGUCUGAAAAGCUCUUCAACACCAAGAGAGAGAGUUAAAAUGAGCGCAGUGCAAAGACUGGACACUGACUGUUUUAAUGUGUUUUAUUAAGAGUUGCUGUAUAUUGGGUAAACUUUAAAUAAAGGGCUGAUUUGUUUUA